UACGAAGGGUGCAAGCGUUACUCGGAAUUACUGGGCGUAAAGCGUGCGUAGGUGGUCUGUUAAGUCUGAUGUGAAAGCCCUGGGCUCAACCUGGGAAUUGCAUUGGAUACUGGCAGGCUAGAGUGCGGUAGAGGGUAGUGGAAUUCCCGGUGUAGCAGUGAAAUGCGUAGAUAUCGGGAGGAACACCAGUGGCGAAGGCGACUACCUGGACCAGCACUGACACUGAGGCACGAAAGCGUGGGGAGCAAACAGG
rnacentral:rRNA from 1 species